rnacentral:rRNA from 1 species
UGGGGAAUCUUGCACAAUGGGCGAAAGCCUGAUGCAGCGAUUCCGCGUGGAGGAUGACGCAUUACGGUGUGUAAACUCCUUUUUUGGUGGAAGACGAAUGACGGUACACCAAGAAUAAGGGACGGCUAACUACGUGCCAGCAGCCGCGGUAAUACGUAGGUCCCAAGCGUUAUCCGGAUUUACUGGGCGUAAAGUGUCCGUAGCCGGAUAUACAAGUCUGUUUUCAAAUAUCCUAGCUCAACCAGGAAAAGGGAAUAGAUACUGUAUAUCUAGAGAAUAUUGGAGGUUAGUGGAAUUUCCGGUGGAGCGGUGAAAUGCGUUGAUAUCGGAAAGAACGCCGAAAGCGAAAGCAGCUAACUAUGAUAUUUCUGGCGGUGAUGGACGAAAGCUAGGGCAGCAAACG